rnacentral:lncRNA from 10 species
GAAAGAACUCUGAUUGCCCUGACUGUGGUCAUUAGCCAUUCUCCUAACUAUCACUAGGGUCAGAGGAGUGCAGACAGACAGCGCUUACUCAGAGGGGGACGGGAUGAGGAACAAUACUCCUAAAAGAAGGUGGCUGCAUUUCCACCGAGAAGCGGACAAGUUCCAGGCAGACACCACAAUGAACAUCCACCAAGAGAAACCCGAUUUAACACAACAGUGGAUGCCAUGGCACUGUGAUAAUUACAGUUGCUUCUGCAAGCUAUUUAUAUGCCUUCCUCCCUGGUUACAUUUCUGGAAUCUUGGAAACAGAGACAAUGCCUUUGUUAUGGUCCUUUCUCCUAUGCUAGCAGAGUCUGGGGCACACGAGGCUGUGAAUAGUGCCUGAAUAAAUGAAUGAACAAAGGGGCAGAAUGCUUUGGUUCACCUGAAAUGGCUUUUCAGAGGAGGUACAGCUGUUCGAUGUGUUACGGCCCCAUCCAGUCCCCUGUGAAAGAGGCUGCAGCAUUUCCUCACUGCCUAUUUAGCCACACCCCGCCAGGACAGAGCGUAACCUAGCAGCUUCCGGAUUUAAUGCAUGGAAUGAUCAACAGGCUGCAAGAGGAAGUGACUGGGCCAGGGGCCCAGAGUCACAAGCUCAUUCAGUCCUAGGCCUUGUAAAUUCCAAGUCCCUGGCCAUGGAUGAGCCUUGGACUGCUUUUCUCAAGCCCUAGAGGUGAAGUCAGCCACCUUCCAUAUCCUAGGCUCAUGCAGGGUGCUGGGACAUUGAUAACUCAGACCACUUCCUGCCCUUGAAAGGCUGAGAAGAAAAUUCGUUUUACCGCAAUGCAGAGGUCUCAGACCAUCAGUUGCACAGCAUAGAAGAGAUUAGAAUCCUGAAUAUGCCCUUUGCACCUGGAAAGACCCUUGUUUGACUCCAGAAAACCCUCCAGGGCUCCUUUACCAAGUACCAGCUCAUAGAAACAGCUAAAGAAAAAUCUAUUAAAGUCAUUUAUUUACAAUCAUAGAAAUUUUAGAGCUAGAGGAAAAUUCAAGGUAAUCUGGUCCCAAACUGUUAGUUCACAGGAGAGGAAGCUAGAUCUACAAUUACACAAUUAUACCAUCACUGUGGUGUGCAAACUGUCCCCAAGACUGUCAUCUUAAUAAUGCAUGUCAUUUGCUGUUGGAAAAAAAAAAUACAUUGAAUAUUUAGGUGAGGCCCCAAGCUACACAUACCAUGAUCACAUUCGAUCCUCCCAAUAGUAAAAUGGGUGUGUUUAUUCCAUCUAAUAAAUGAGGAAACAGAAGCACAGAGACAUUAAGUGACAUGCUCAAGGUCACACAGCUGGUAAAUGAUGGAUUAAGGAUUUGAACUCAGACUCAAUUGUUUUCAAAGCAUCUAUUCCAAUGAGAAUGAAAAUGUUGGCCAGGCACAGUGUCUCACGCUUGUAAUCCUAGCACUUUGGGAGGCCGAGGCGGGUAGAUCACCUGAGGUCAGGAGUUCUAUACCAGCAUGGACAACAUGGCGAAAUCCCGUCUCUACUAAAAAUAUAAAAAUUAGCCAGGCAUGGUAGCGCAUGCCUGUAAUCCCACCUACUCGGGAAGCUGAGAAUCGUUUGAACCCGGGAGGUGGAGGUUGCAGUGAGCUGAGAUUGCACCACCACACUCCAGCCUGUGCAACGGGAGUGAGACUCCAUCUCAAGAAAAAAAAAAAAGAAAGAAAGAAAGAAAGAAAAUGUAUUGAAUUAAUGUUACUGAAAUAAGGCCAGAAAACCUAGAUUCUAUUUCUAAAUUUACCACUAACAAGUUGUAGGAACUGGGAAAGACCUUUCAUUCACUGGGACCUAGCUUCCUGUUCCAUAAAUGGAGAGAACAGAGCUGGGUCAGUGAUGGCAAUAUGUGACCACUUUCUCAUCCUAUGCCCAAGACAGAUGUGACUGUAAGACCAGGGUACCAUUUCUGCCUGAGCUCAAAGUAGGCUUCUAAUGUAGAGCUUUAUCCAGCCCCUCCCAAACAAUUGCUAUUGGCACAAAUAAAAUGCAUUUGCCACCCCUUGGCCCAACGAGCUCUCAGAUCCAUUCCAACUCUAUUUAAUUCAUGAAAAUUCUGGCCCUGGAUUUUGUCAUUUCUCUGCAGUGUUGGAAGAAAAAUAGGAACCGCUUAUCUGUGAUUCCACAGAGCAGAAUCCUGCCAGAAGCAGAUCCCUGCUGUUCUCCUGACAGAUCAUGGGCUGUGCUCAGAACUUCAGGGGCAGGGGUGUAGGGGCCUGCCACAAAUGACAGGAGGCCACGAUUCCAUUUCGUCUUCUUCCUUAACUCUGAUCCACAUGAAUGGAAAGCUUUCCUUGCUCUGACAUUACUGGAACAUCACAUAGUUCUCUUAUGAAAUGAAUCUCUAUUGCUGAAGUGGCUUGAUAUCAACAAUAAGGCAGCCAAAGAGGUACAUGGAAAAACCCCACUGUCUUCCCAUGCUGAUUGGCUUACAGGAUGAGGGGGUGAUGGAGGGCCAGUGAGUCAGAGCUAUUUCUACAGAAGACAUCCAGAAACACCAAGUUAAGUCAAGUUGCUGAGUCUGUGGUGAGCCCAAGACAGGAGGUAACAGAAGAAUGGAAAAUCAGGACAGCAUUGAAAUCUGAUGCUGAGUUGACAAGUUGCUGUCAAAUGCCAAGCACAGAGGACAGCAGGAAGUGAGCCAACUGCAGAGAGCUGAGCACCUGGCCAGAUCAUCAGGCUACCUCUGUCCAGACCUCAGCAGUGCCCAGGCCUUCACGUAGCAGUCACAGGUCACUGCAUCCUGCCAAAAAAAGGCAGUCCAUUCUUCAAGGUGUCUGUUUGAGUCUAGUGUCAAAUUACCCCAGAUUGUCAGCAAGUGCCUGUGGCCCUGGCUUGCCCUGGUAGAUGAGUCAGCCCAGCUGUGAAGAAAGCCCUGCCGGGCCCUGGGAGGCCAACGCAUGCCAGCUGAGGCAAGAAGACAGCAUCAGCCCUGAAGCCUGUGUGGACAAGGAGCCCACUCCCUAACUGAGGCCUGGGACCCCUAACCCCACCCCGACUUCAGAUGGGGCUGUGUUUCCAGGACUGCCUCAUACCCCAUUUCAAAUCAGGCUACUCAACAGUGACAUUUAGUAACAGAAAUCAUGAAGAUUCAUUAGAUGACUCAGAGAAAAAACAAACAAACACUCUCUCCAAGAAAGAGAAAUUCACAGGAAGGGGCCACAUCCAUCCAGUUCUGCCCUUCCCGUUUCUCUAGCUCAGUGGUUCUCAAAGUGUGGUCCCUGGACCAGCAGGAGUGACAGAUUUUUGCCACGACACCACUUCAGUAAUGUUAAUUAAAUAUAUUUCCAUUCUUUUAAGAGUCAACAUAGCUUAGUGAGAAGAGCAGAAGCUCUGGAGCUUGUUAGAAAUGCCCCACCCCAGACCUCUUGAAUCAGAAAUACUGGGGUGGGGCCCAGCCAUCGGUGGCCUAACCAGCCUUCCAGGCGAUUCUGAAGCCUGCUGAAGUUUGAGAACAAGGACGUCUCCAGCUGAACCAGCCACCCCUCAGGAGUAGAGGGAAUUCCUGCUCCCCGGCCCAACUUUGUUAUGGAAACCUCCCAGGACAAUCUGCAUCAGCGAGCUGAUCCUAGUCCCCAGCAGCAGGUGACAAAAGGAUCUGGCCUCAGGACUGUGUCAUCCCUAGGACGUGAUAACAGGCCAUUGUGGCUGGGGCAUAUUAGUGGGUGCAAAAGGAGAUAUAAAUCUCGUAUUUGGGAAAGGAAUGGGAGGGACUGAAGAGCAAGGAAAACUAAGCCCCUUCUUAUCUCCUCAAUGCUCAGCCACUAGAAACUCGUAAUUAGAGCUAUUAAUAGCCACCAUUUAUGUAGAAGCUGCCAUGAGCCAGGCACAGUGGGACAUACUUUACCUGUUUCAUCUCUCAGCAAAUUUUGAGGGACGUAGCUUUAUCCACCCCAUUUGAUAGAAGAAGAAACUGAGGCUCAGUGAAGCUAGACGUCUUGUUGGAGUGUGUUCUUUGCACGCAUGAGUUGGGACCCGACCUCACGUCUAAGUGGGCCAUCUUGACCACAGCACUGCCUUAAUCCAACAACCAUCGUCCCUCCCCACCCCCUCCACUCUUCAAAGGGCCUCAUCGUGGGUGAUGUGGGGCCAGACUAAGACCAGGAAUGUGGACUUUCUCACACAUAGUAGGUGCUUAACAGAUGGUAGUGCUCUCUCCUUGCCUCUUUGGACACCCACAAUGGAGUGAUUCAGAGCCCAAGUUUUGGGCAGAUUGUACAUGCAUGGGCUAAAUGGGCUCUGAGAGUCAGCAUCCAGCUUCACAAAACAGGAAUAAUGAUAGCUGCCUCCCGGGGAUGUUAUGGAGAUGCAAUCUGCUAUGUCUAUAGCUAUGUCUAUAAAGCUAUGUCUAUAAAGCACACAGCGUUCCACACGUAAUAAGCAGUGACUAAGUGGUCAUUACUACUUUACCAUAGUCAAGCUUAAUACAAGUGUGUGAAGAGACAGGUAAGGGAUUUUCAUCCCUACUUUGUGGUUACAGACAUAAGCUUCAGAGAGGCUGAGGGGCAGACCUAGAAUGACACGGCUGGGAGGGUGAUGGCAAGAGGAGAAGCUCAGCCACCCACCCGGCAUCAGCUUCCAUUCCUCCAUGCUAUGCUGCCUGGCCUAGCAAGGGCACCCCUGUGUCAUGUUGAUUCUCUUUUUAUUGCAGAAACUCGCUCCCGCUUGUGCACAGUCCAGGAGCUUUGCCCCAACUAGUGCUGUCACAAGUCAUGUGACAACAACCAGGGGAAUGUUCCCAUUAACAGAGACGGUGGGACGCCAAGGCAUGCUCCCACCUCCAGCCUCCCAUCAUUGUUGUAACAUCUUUGGACACCUCCCUCCUUCUCCCAAGGAAAGCCACAGCCCUGUGAGUGACCAGAGGCAACAGAACAAAGACCGGAUUCUCAGUUUCCUGAUUCCCUCGCACAGCACGGUCUCUCUGCAGGGAGUCUGGGAAUCCUGACACUGCCUGGAUGGAGUGUCCACACCAGUGGCUAAAGAGACAAGGUCGCUGGUUGUGUCGCCCGGAGUGGAGUCAAUGGUGUAAUCAUAGUUCACUGCAGUCUCAAACUCCUGGGCUCAAGCAAUCAUCCCACCUCAGCCUCCCAAGUAGCUAGGACUACAGGGGUGGGUCACCAUGCCCAAC